rnacentral:rRNA from 1 species
GAUUUCUGACGAAACUGCUAGCUGGCCCGCCACGUCAGUGUGUGAGUGCCGGCUUGGCGUUUGUCAUCCGUUCGAAUGAUAUGCGCGCUGCCCUUCACUGGGUUGGCGCUGCAUGUUUUCGAUCUUUUACUUUGAAAAAAUUAGAGUGUUUCAAGCAGGCAUUUUUGCUAUGAAUACAUUAGCAUGGAAUAAUAAUUUAGGACUUCGGUUCUAUUUUGUUGGUUUCUAGGACUGAAGUAAUGAUUGAUAGGGAUAGUUGGGGGUGCUAGUAUUCAGCGGCCAGAGGUGAAAUUCUCGGAUUCGCUGAAGACUAACUUAUGCGAAAGCAUU